AUGAAAGCGGAAAAAGCGGGAAAUCAAAUUUUGGGGGGAAAAAAAAAAUCACUAACCAAAACGACGUUGUUUUAGUAAGAGUGGCAGGGAAGGCUGCAGGAAAGGGCGACCAAGGAUCCUUACUCUUUCCUAACAUGUCCAGCAUAUAUAUAUAUAUAUAAUAUUAGAUGGUUGAAGUCUCAAUAUAGGAACAAAAAAACAAAAUAGCUGCACCUUGAAGUGCUGGAAGUUUCUUCUAAUGACUAUUCUGGUUGACCUGUGAGUUCCAAGGAGGUGAGACGGUGUGGUUUGUUGUCUUGCUCAAACGGUGAUGUCAGUGUAUGCGCAAGGGUCAUGCGGCAAUAGCUCAUUAUAUGUAUGUUCAUACAUGCUCUAUCUGGUGCAUGUUCUACCAUGUGCAACAUCUUCCAGAAACUCAGGUGGGUCAAAAAAAGGGGGGAGAUUGCUUGUGGAUUUGGAAGAUGGUGCGCAGCCUUGCAAAAACAGUUCAAUUAGGUACCCCAACUACUCGGUGGAUCUCAGUCUAUAGUUCUAGGUCACCGAUGAAAUAGAGGUUAAAAGGAGAGUGGUACAAGAAAGUCAGUCAACUCCAUCUCCAUUGAGUUCAACCAGCACACCAAAGGAGAGUCAAAUGAUGUGGAGAGGCAAGCUAGUGUACAAUGCUAGUGGCCUUAAAACAGCAUCCACUGGACAAAAAAAUGGAGCACCUGGAGAUUGGAAGUAGGAAGCAUCCAUUGCACAGAAGAUUGAAUUUUUUUUUUUUCUUUUGGGAUAGAAAAAGGAAGCAUCUGCAUGACUUUCUCAUUGGGGCUUUUUGUACAUGUAAUGAUUUUUUGUUUGGAAUGGUUGCCCUGAACUUGUUAACUAUGUAAAUGUAGUAUUUUGGU